AACGCUAGCUACAGGCUUAACACAUGCAAGUCGAGGGGCAGCAUGUAGGCGGGCUUGCUCGCCUAUGAUGGCGACCGGCGCACGGGUGAGUAACGCGUAUCCGACCUGCCGCACACUCCGGGAUAGCCUUGCGAAAGCAAGUUUAAUACCGGAUGCCGUCGAGAUGCCGCAUGGUGUCAUGACGAAAGGUUGAUUCCGGUGUGCGAUGGGGAUGCGUCCCAUUAGCUGGUUGGCGGGGUAACGGCUCACCAAGGCGACGAUGGGUAGGGGUUCUGAGAGGAAGGUCCCCCACAUUGGAACUGAGACACGGUCCAAACUCCUACGGGAGGCAGCAGUGAGGAAUAUUGGUCAAUGGGCGUAAGCCUGAACCAGCCAAGUAGCGUGCAGGAUGACGGCCCUAUGGGUUGUAAACUGCUUUUAAGCGGGGAUAAAGUCAGGGACGUGUCCCUGUUUGCAGGUACCGCUUGAAUAAGGACCGGCUAAUUCCGUGCCAGCAGCCGCGGUAAUACGGAAGGUCCGGGCGUUAUCCGGAUUUAUUGGGUUUAAAGGGAGCGUAGGCGGGACGCCAAGUCAGCUGUGAAAUGCCAUGGCUCAACCAUGGAGCUGCAGUUGAAACUGGCGUUCUUGAGUUGUCGCAGGGGCGGUGGAACUCGUGGUGUAGCGGUGAAAUGCUUAGAUAUCACGAAGAACUCCGAUUG
rnacentral:rRNA from 1 species